rnacentral:rRNA from 1 species
AGUGAACGCUGGCGGCAGGCCUAAUACAUGCAAGUCGAACGGCAGCACAGCAGAGCUUGCUCUGUGGGUGGCGAGUGGCGGACGGGUGAGGAAUACGUGGGAAUCUGCCCAGUCGUGGGGGAUAACGUAGGGAAACUUACGCUAAUACCGCAUGCGCCCUUCGGGGGAAAGCCGGGGGACCUUCGGGCCUGGCGCGAUUGGAUGAGCCCACGUCGGAUUAGCUAGUUGGCGGGGUAAAGGCCCACCAAGGCGACGAUCCGUAGCUGGUCUGAGAGGAUGAUCAGCCACACUGGAACUGAGACACGGUCCAGACUCCUACGGGAGGCAGCAGUAGGGAAUAUUGGACAAUGGGCGCAAGCCUGAUCCAGCCAUGCCGCGUGAGUGAAGAAGGCCCUCGGGUUGUAAAGCUCUUUGUCCGGAAAGAAAGCGCCGGGUUAAUACCCUGGUGUCCUGACGGUACC